rnacentral:rRNA from 1 species
GGAGUAGAAAAUUAAUCAAUCAAUAAUAAAUGAAGUCUCAUUUUGGAUAUAUUGAGAAAGAAUUCCUAGAAGAAAACACUGAGAAGGAAACUCUGAAGCGUGGAAAAGUAUCCUAUGAGGAGUACCUUUUGCAUCAUGGUCUAUGGAUUAAAGUGACAGAUAGGUCUAAUUCCCGAAUUUAGGUGAUCUACUCCUCUAAAGAGCUUAAUGUUUCAUAAUUAUCUGGUAUAGAGGGGUAGGAGUGAAAUGUUAUAACGAACCUAAAGAUAUCUGGUUUCUUGGGAAGUGAAUUUAAUUCAGUGGUCCUAAGGUCACUUUCAAUUUAGAGAGGGGGUUCCUAUUGGUUCAGUAACCUAAAGAGAGAUAAGUUUCUUUAGGUCUCUCAAAUGGAAAAGAGGCUCUUAUACUUCGGAAGAAAUUUGAUGUAACGUUUAUGUACUACCAUAUGGGGAAAGAGAUUUAUUAAACUUCAUUGAGGAUGAUACCAAGAAGAAACUCACUAACUUAGUUGGGUUGGUUGUAAUCAUAGAAUAAGUACUGCCCCUUCUAAUCUUUCUAAAGGAACUCGGCAAAAGUUUUCCCGCCGGUUUACCAAAAACUUGUCCUUGAGGAAAUAGUUCAAGGUAAGAUCUGCUCACUGAGCAUCAAUUAAAGAGCCGCAGUAGCUUGACUGUGCAAAGGUAGCAUAAUAAUUAGCACCUUAAUUAGGUGAUGGAAUGAAUGAUCAGACGAGGAAAAGGCUGUCUCUGGAGAGAUUCAGAAAAUUAACUUUUAAGUUAAAAGGCUUAAAUAAUGAUAGAGGACGAGAAGACCCUAUAGAGCUCUGUUGAAGGAAAAAUUAAUAAGAUUUUCUAUCUUUAACUUAGUUGGGGGUACUAGACAAUAUAUCUAAUUUGUCUUUAAUAUUACUCUAAUAGGAGAGUUGCAUAACCCUCAUUGGGGAAUAAAGAGAAGCUACCUUAGGGAUAACAGCGUAAUUUCUAGUCCUAGCUCUCAUAAUACUAGAAGAUUGCGACCUCGAUGUUGAAUUAAGACCUCACUCAGAGGCAGAAGGCUGGGAAGUUAGUCUGUUCGACUAUUAAAGUCUUACAUGAUUUGAGUUCAGACCGACGUAAGUCAGGUCAGUUUCUAUCCCUAUCUCUGAGUCUAAUUUCUGUACGAAAGGAUCGAAUUAGAGGUGGGACCCA